AAGUCGUAACAAGGUAACCGUAGGUGAACCUGCGGUUGGAUCAUUAAUAAAUCUGACUGGCCUCAAGGCCUUUCUAACACUUGUGUAUAGUAAUUGUUUCUUUGGCGGAUGCAAGUCCGUGUUAAACUCUGUAAUAAUUUUUGCCUAUAAAUUUUAAUGAAUAAUUAAAAACAACUUUUGACAACGGAUCUCUAGGCUCUCA
rnacentral:misc_RNA from 1 species